GAAGCCAGAGGAAACUCUGGUGGAGGCUCGAAGCGAUACUGACGUGCAAAUCGUUCGUCUGACUUGGGGAUAGGGGCGAAAGACUAAUCGAACCAUCUAGUAGCUGGUGUGCUCCGAAGUUUCCCUCAGGAUAGCUGGAGCCCAUUACGAGUUCUAUCAGGUAAAGCCAAUGAUUAGAGGCAUUGGGGACGCAACGUCCUCGACCUAUUCUCAAACUUUAAAUAGGUAGGAUGGCUCGGCUG
rnacentral:ncRNA from 1 species